rnacentral:rRNA from 1 species
UACGAAGGGGGCUAGCGUUGUUCGGAUUUACUGGGCGUAAAGCGCACGUAGGCGGAUUGUUAAGUCGGGGGUGAAAUCCUGGAGCUCAACUUCAGAAUUGCCUUCGAUACUGGCUUUCUAGAGGCUGGAAGAGGUUAGUGGAAUUCCCAGUGUAGAGGUGAAAUUCGUAGAUAUUGGGAAGAACACCAGUGGCGAAGGCGGCUA